rnacentral:rRNA from 1 species
AGAAUCAACGCUGGCGGCGUGCCUAACACAUGCAAGUCGAACGAGAAAGUGGGAGCAAUCCCACGAGUAAAGUGGCGCACGGGUGAGUAACACGUGACUAACCUACCCUUGAGUGGGGGAUAACCUAGGGAAACCUGGGCUAAUACCGCAUAAUACCUACGGGUCAAAGGAGCAAUUCGCUUUAGGAGGGGGUCGCGGCAGAUUAGUUAGUUGGCGGGGUAAUGGCCCACCAAGACAGUGAUCUGUAUCCGGCCUGAGAGGGCGCACGGACACACUGGAACUGAAACACGGUCCAGACUCCUACGGGAGGCAGCAGUGGGGAAUUUGCGCAAUGGGGGAAACCCUGACGCAGCAACGCCGCGUGGAGGAUGAAGCCCCUUGGGGCGUAAACUCCUUUCGAUCGGGAAGAUAAUGACGGUACCGGAAGAAGAAGCCCCGGCUAACUUCGCGCCAGCAGCCCGC